rnacentral:lncRNA from 1 species
AUGCCUGAAGUCACUGUAAAAGAUGUUAACCAUCAGGUUCGUCAGAGCGCUGGCAGCCUUCCUCAAAAAGUCCAGGAAGCUGAAAGUUCGGGAAUGGGUGGACACAGUCAAGUUAGCCAAACAUAAAGAGCUUGCCCCAUAUGAUGAGAACUGGUUCUACCCACGAGCUGCUUCCACAACUCCGGACCUGUACCUCUGUACACAACUGUAGUGCAGGAGUUGGUUCCGUGACCAAGAUCUAUGAAGGAUGGCAGAGGAACGGUGUUAGGCCCAGCCACUUCAGCAGAGGCUCUGAGAGUAUGGCUUGCCAGGUCCUCCAAGCCCUGAAAGGGCUGAAAAUGGUGGAAAAGGGCCGAGAUGGGGGCCGCAAGCUAACACCUCAGGGACAGGAAACACAUCUGGACAGGAUCGCUGAACAGGUGGCAGCUGCCAACAAGAAGCAUUAGAAAAAAUAA